UUGUGACCUUCGACCCAGGGUCACUCACCGUCCUCGCUCUGGUUGUAGUAGCGGAGCAGGGUCCUCAGGUUCACUUGGUAAAUCUGCUCAUUACUCUUCGCGAUCUGUGUCUGCUCCUCCCAAUACUCCGGCCCCACCUGUUCCAUCCACGGCGCGCGCGGUUCAUAUCUCGGAUUCUCCUCAUCGCUGUCAAAGCGCACGAACUCCGUGUCGUCCACGUAGCCGACAGAGAUGAACCGGGGUUUCCCGAGGCCGGGCCGUGACACGGCGGUGUGGAAAUACCGCAGGGAGUGUGAGCCUGGGGGUGGCACUUGGUGGAGGUGGAGAAUUUUGUCCUCCGAGUGGCUGCAGAGUUCUCUUCCAGGAAGGAGCAGCUUGUGUUUCUGAUCAACAACUAUGACAUGAUGCUGGGUGUGCUGAUGGAGCUGGCUGCAGAUGACAGCAAAGAGGUGGAGAGUUUCCAGCAGCUUCUUAAUGCUCGGACACAGGUAGGGCCUGGGUGUGGUAGAAAGACCGUGAUGCUGUUGGACUGACCUCCGUGUGCAGUCAUGAUUACAACCCACUGUCUCAUUGCUAGUCUGUUUCAUUUAACUUGUUCACGGUACUAAUAGAUUAGAAGCAAAAUAAAACUAUAGCUAU